GCCACCGCAGGGUUGUGUGCAGCGUCAGCCGUCCUGCUGUGCACACUGAGAGGCCGUCUGAAGCAGUGUUUUGCUUCCCUGUGCCUAGCCCCUCCCACCUCACUCAGCAGCGUGUACCAGCACCACAAGCAGCAGCACUGGCUUUCCUCUCACUGCUCUUCGGCUCUCACUGGGUGUUCCUGCACUGUGCUGCCCUCCCACACAGCUCCCAGUCUAUACAGGAAGGAGCAAGAUUGCCAGAAGCCAGCAGACACACCGGAAGGAGCACAAGACGCCAGCACGGAGAAUACGCGUCCAGCUGCAAGGAGACCAGCCACGCACAGACCGCUCAACACAGCACCCGGCAUCACAGACGCCUGUCACGGAUCCACAAUAUACAGGUUACUGAUGUAAAACAGUUCUCGCUAGGAUAACUACACUAACCACUCUCAAAGG